rnacentral:rRNA from 1 species
CAUGCAAGUCGAACGAGAGAGAAGGAGCUUGCUUCUUCGAUCGAGUGGCGAACGGGUGAGUAACGCGUGAGGAACCUGCCUCAAAGAGGGGGACAACAGUUGGAAACGACUGCUAAUACCGCAUAAGCCCACGGGUCGGCAUCGACCUGAGGGAAAAGGAGUGAUCCGCUUUGAGAUGGCCUCGCGUCCGAUUAGCUAGUUGGUGAGGUAAUGGCCCACCAAGGCGACGAUCGGUAGCCGGACUGAGAGGUUGAACGGCCACAUUGGGACUGAGACACGGCCCAGACUCCUACGGGAGGCAGCAGUGGGGAAUAUUGCACAAUGGGGGAAACCCUGAUGCAGCGACGCCGCGUGGAGGAAGAAGGUCUUCGGAUUGUAAACUCCUGUUGUUGAGGAAGAUAAUGACGGUACUCAACAAGGAAGUGACGGCUAACUACGUGCCAGCAGCCGCGGUAAAACGUAGGUCACAAGCGUUGUCCGGAAUUACUGGGUGUAAAGGGAGCGCAGGCGGGAAGACAAGUUGGAAGUGAAAUCUAUGGGCUCAACCCAUAAACUGCUUUCAAAACUGUUUUUCUUGAGUAGUGCAGAGGUAGGCGGAAUUCCCGGUGUAGCGGUGGAAUGCGUAGAUAUCGGGAGGAACACCAGUGGCGAAGGCGGCCUACUGGGCACCAACUGACGCUGAGGCUCGAAAGUGUGGGUAGCAAACAGGAUUAGAUACCCUGGUAGUCCACACCGUAAACGAUGAUUACUAGGUGUUGGA